rnacentral:RNase_P_RNA from 1 species
UCUUGGUAAUCGCUGCUAGUAAUAGUAGAGGAAAGUCCAUGCUCACACAAUCUGUGAUGAUUGUAGUGUUUGUGCUAGAUGAAAAAAUAAAUCUAGGCAGCAUAUGCUGACGGCUGCUAAUUAUACUAAGGGAAACUAUGUAUAAUGCUAUAAAAGUGCCAAAGAGACGAGCUUUUCCGAAAGGAAAAAGGUGGAACGUGGUAAACCCCGCAAGUGAGCAACCCAAAAUUGGUAGGGGCACUUCAAAGUUUGAAUCAGAAAAACGAUGAGGAUCGAAAGAUAGAUAAAUGAUUACCCUCUUGUAAAGAGACAGAACAUGGCUUAUAA